CGUGUACCCCUUCUCCACAAGAUCCCAUAGAUCUUGCGAUCGCAGCAUCGUCUUCAUCUUGAUGCACCAGAAAUCAUAGUUCUCCCCUUUGAAAAUGGGAUGAGCAGUUUGGGAUCCGCCGACCCCGCUGAUCGCCAUCGACGUAGCCACCUCUCACGAAUCCUGACGCUCUGAUACCACUUGUUAUGGCGGUAAUCAAUAAAACAAUGAAGCGAAUAAUUUUAUUAAUGUGGAGAAUAAUCAAUAGAUUCGCGGUGCGCUUGUUCUACACAGUCUUAGCCUUUUAUGGUGCAUAUGGAUAACAAAAAAAACAAAAUCUAAACUGACUAACAAAAUCCCUCGUAACAAAUCUAACCAACUAAGAAAUCUUAAUAACAAAUCUAACUAACUAACAAUUUGAUCUUAUCUUCAACAGUUACUUCACUCCUUCUUCUUCUCCACCUUCAUUCUCUUUUUCUUUUUCUUCUUUUCCUUUCCUUCCCUUUCUUUCUUUUUCUCCUUCUUGUCUUCUAGAGAGAGAAAGAGAGGUGAGAGUGUGAGAGGGUGAGAAUGAGAGAAAACACCUCAUAACCCCCUCAACAUAACCCAUAUAUUGCAUUUUUGCAAAUAAAUCCCUCAGCUUUCACUUUAUUAAACUGCCAGAACUGGGCAGAUUU
rnacentral:lncRNA from 1 species